rnacentral:rRNA from 1 species
CCCUUAGAUGUUCUGGGCCGCACGCGCGCUACACUGUUCGACGCAGCGAGUCUUAACCUUGACCGAAAGGUUUGGGUAAUCUUCAGCAAAGUCGAACGUGAUGGGGAUCGAUCAUUGCAAUUAUUGAUCGUGAACGAGGAAUUCCUAGUAAGUGCAAGUCAUCAGCUUGCGCUGAUUACGUCCCUGCCCUUUGUACACACCGCCCGUCGCUACUACCGAUUGAAUGGUUUAGUGAGAUCUCUGGAUUGACGCUGGCUAGGGGGCGACCCUUGGCCAGACCGUUGAGAAACUGCUCAAACUUGAUCAUUUAGAGGAAGUAAAAGUCGUAACA